UGAGAGUAAAAGGCAAAAAUUUGGAUUAACAUUAAUGCUAAUGGACUCUUCAAGGGUAUUUUCAGGCAGGGACUGAGAGGCAGAGGCAACACCUCUCAUUUGAUUACAUUAUUUUUGCAUUAUAAUUGCAUUAUUUGCCCUCUGCCCGGAAUAAAUAUCCACCUUCACCAAACUGCCCACCCAUUAGCGUUCUGAUUUGUUUUAUUUGCCUUUCAUGAAAGUAAUUGCUGUUGACUCGAAUGCGGAACAUAAUAAUGUGAUAGACCUGCAAAUAUACAUUGACUAUAGACUAUA